GCAUUAAAGAGCAGAGUAUUGCACUCUGUUUCCUGCGUCUGACUCCACACCCACGACACCCGGAGCGUUACAAAUAUGGAUUGGUCUGUGUUGUUGCAUCUUGUUUUAUCUGAAGAUAUUAUGUUAGCCAUGGAGAACUGCAAAUAUGUUGCUACUCCUCUCAAUAGCAUUGCUGCUCUGAAUUUCUCAGGUGCUAUCGACAAAGGUCAGUUGGAAAAAGUUGUGAUGGACUACUUUCUGGACGACGAUCGUGCCAUGCAAUGCUGACUCUCAUUUCAUAACACAUUUUGAAAUCAGUGGAACACAACGGUCCAAACUAAACAGAAACAACACAGGAUGUCUUACAAAAGGGUUUGCAGUCUGCAUUGAAGUUUUCAUCCAUGUAUACAGCAUUAAUUUGUGGAACACGCCUGACUCUAAUCUGCCAGUCAUACAUUCAUCAAAAAGAGAGGUAGCCCAAACAAGCAAAGGCAAAAGCGAAGUCAUCAACUACAUGCACCAUUUCUUCACCAACUACGGAGUUGGGAAAACACGUGUGGACCUGAAUUGUCAUAACUGCAGUGGCCAAAACAAGAACAAGUUUGUGCUCUGGUAUUGUGCCUGGUGGACCAUGCACAAGCUCCACCACAAUCUGGACCUUCACUUCCUGAUCACAGGCCACACAAAGUUUGCCCUUGUGGGGUACUUUGGCCUCAUCAAGCAGCGCUCUUGAAGACCAGAGUGAACACUUUAUCUGAGAUUACUGUCCUUCACGACACCAGCACUGUGACAGGGGUCAACAUCCCAUGGCUGCUUGGACUGGAGGAUGGUAUGGUGCUGGUGGAAAGCUAUGGCUGGCAACAACACCUGACUCUGUACUUCAGGCCGCUGCCACAGAUCAAGCAGUACCAGCACUUCAGCUUCGAUGCUCCGGAGCCUGGUGUUGUUGCCAAGGAGCGUUCGGACUGCUGGGACCAGGUUUUAGCUGCUGCACAACGCUGACAUCCUUCCUCCACAAACUCUUUUUGACAAGAUCAGGGAGUUUUGCGAUGAAGAGGCUAUGGACAUCACAUGCCCUGCACCAAAGCCAAGGGCAGGACAGAAACAGGCUCUCCGAAUAUAGAUUCCCUUGUUCAUGCGUGGUUUGGAGUCAACUGCACUAUCUGCAGUGCCUCUAUUCACAUGACUCUCUACUAACACACACACCAUACGUUGCUGCUAUUUUUGUUGUUGUCCUGCUGCUCAGCCACUUUACCCCUGAUUGGUAUGCAUAUAAGUACCUUGUCUAUCACUAUUGAUAUUGUUUGUGUACAUACUGUAUAUUUGAUUUAUAUUUACACUAUAUUUCUAUUGCUAUUAUGCAAGUAACCAUUUGGCUAUAAAGUUUACACCUCUGUAGAGACCAUCCACUUAGCAAAAUAUUGAUAUAUUGUGCCCCUGGCUAUCCAUCAAUAAAACAUUAUAGCAUUUCUUUCACAUGACCCAUCAAUUUAGACAAGUGUAUCUGGGUAAGUGUCAUCUAAUAUGGACACUUUCCACUUACCU
rnacentral:lncRNA from 1 species